AGCUUGAGAAUCCCAGCAUAGCCAGGCCAUGUGAAGUAGCAGACACGCUGUGAGUGACAAGAGAUUACAGCGAGCUCAGAAGUAGAGCAAGGAAAACAUGAAGAAUGGGGAAAGUAGCUGCCGCAUGCCAAUGCGAAACUCCGAGGAGUCUAGCCAUUCUGAUCUGGCCUUCCAGGUCAUUAGGAGGCUCUGCCAUCACGUGAAGAGGUAUGACAUAUUUUAUCUAGCGGUUUGUUAGCUUGCUUUAAAACUUUUAAUAUUUAGACAUUUGGUUUGUGACCCUGCCAGGGAGAGUCUGCUGUCUGGAGAGCACACUGGUCUCCAGUGUGGGGAGAGAGAGCAUUUUCCGGCUUUGCUGAGGAGGGUCUUCGGAAAAAAGAGUGAGUGGGCAUCUCCUCGCACAGGUGCUUGGCUUGCUAGACCUAGGGUCAUUCUCACAUCACCUUUUCAGCUGAGGAAACUGAAAGUCUCAAGGUCACGCAGCUGGGAAUAUAUGACCAAAUGGCCUUCACCUUCCCCUAAAUGAUAAGUUUCAAAUGACAAAAUAAGGGGACAAGGA
rnacentral:lncRNA from 1 species